UCAACGCCACGUGGACCGAAGACUCGGUCAAUAUCGUCACAUAGACGCCACGUCAGUGAAACCACCCUAAAACUGCCGAGGGAGUCAAAUUUCACCGGUUUUGCAAGUUCGGGGGGUCGAGAUUUCUGGUAUUACGGUUGAGGGAUACUACGAUUUAGAUUCGGUGGUCAGUUAAGGGAGUCAAAGUGAUUUUAUUCCUAUAUUAUCUCCUCUGCUCCGCCGGUUUCCGACUCCGACAAACUGGGCGCAGCGGAGAUCGGAGAUCGCCAGAUCGGGGAGGGAACCAGAGCGCCGCCGCCUUUCGUCCGGUGGGGAUUCUCGUCUCGCAGAACACGCAGGCAGGGCGCUGUACAACCCCAACGCCGAGACAGAGGAAAAGGCUUGAGGGAGACCUUUUCUAAUCCUGCUCCUCUCGGCCAGGUCCGCUCCCUCUUUGUUUGCUGCUAGCAAUUUAAAUUCCACCGAGGGGUUCUAUGCAAAGUGAAGUAAUUGUGAUGAACUGAAAUUUUUAUGCUCCUUGUGCAGUUUUAGAUAUUGAUGAGUAAUUUACAUUGGAUAAGUUAUAAGCUAUAGGGUAAACCCUCUUCAUUUAGGCAAGCUGUUGGAAUGCCUUUUUGUUUUAGUUAGAAUGUUGGAGGAUUGCUUGGGAACGUCGGUACCAACUACAAUUCCUUAAUUUGGAAAUCUUGGGCCCCUGCGAAAUGCAAAUUUUAUGCGUGGCUUGUGAUACAAAAUAGAGUUUGGACCUCCGACCGACUAGCUGCAAGAGGAUGGCCAAAUAGUGGAACGUGCCCCCUAUGUCGUGCGACGAAUGAGACGGCAUUUCACCUAAUCGCUUCUUGUAGAUACACCAAGAGGAUCUGGCGCCUAACGGCUAGCUGGGUGGCCUAUCAGUAAUUGGACCCAACUCAUUGGGAGCCAUACCAAAGUGUCCAAGAAUGGUGGGAAAUGCUGACUAACAUAAAUGAAGUGCCCAAGAAAGGAUUGAGAUCCUUAAUCCUACUCAUCAUGUGGGAAAUCUGGAAGGAAAGGAACCAGCGGAUCUUUGAGCAUAAGGAAACAGCGGCCCCCAAUCUUAUAGCGAAGAUAAAGGAAGAGGCAAGAACCUGGAUCAUAGCAGGCGCAAGGCGUCUCGGAGAAUUCCUCCCAUCUUAGUCAUAGUCUCUGUUUUCAUGUACAAUUUUCUUUUCUUGCCUCUAGGGACUGUAUUUUUUUUACCUCUAUAUCCAAUGAAAUAGCACAAUCUCGUGCUGAUUCUUUUCAAAAAAAAAUGGUGUAUGGUACAAUUAACAGAGCAUUAAUUAAUGGUCCAAUACCCUA